rnacentral:rRNA from 1 species
GUCUACGGCCAAGCCACCUGAUCCUACAUGAUCUUGGAAGGAUCCUACAUGAUCUUGGAAGCUAAGCAGGGUUGGGCCUGGUUAGUACUUGGAUGGGAGGCCACCUAAGAAGACCAGGUGCUGUAGGCG